CACUACUUCAUCAACUUGAACAUCAAAAUCAGCCACAUCCUUAGCCUCAAUCACAGGGUACUCUUCAUAGCCUUCCCUUUCUUCAGCGUCAUAUAUAGGUUCUACCAAAUUGGCAUGGCGUUGGGUGGCAUUCAAUGGGCACUCUGCAGCUCGGUGCCCAACAUCAUUGCAUCUAAAGCACCUCAGACCAGCAACCUCUUGGGCUCGGGUUCGUGCCCGGGUACCCCCAGCAGGGCCAUCUUUUGCUACUGGAACUCCCCAGGUUGGAGACGCCAACCUCCCAGUCUGUGACAAUCCUGCUUCGGGUGUGGGUGGACGUAUGGCUGCCCCUUUUCUUUGUCAUUUCUCCACCUUUAAAGCAGCUUGAUAUGUCACCUCUAACCGAGGCAUAUGAUGCAAUGAGAGCUCAUCUUGGAUCAAACUCCGCACCCUCGAAACAUAAUGCGUCACCUUUUGAUCCUUGGUCUCCGCUAACCUAUUACGCAAGGAUAAGCAAUAAUACUCCUAUGUAUACUCCUGGAGAGAUUUUGUACCUUGAUGCAACCUAUAGGACUAUUGAUACAAUGUUUGUGAGUAGCUCGGCGGGAGAAAUUGCUCACGCAUCUUUGCUUUCAUCUUCGUCUAUGAACUAAUCUUUUCUAUGCCUUUUUGAACCAGUGCUUCUUGAACUUGAUCCCACCAUAAUGAUGCAAGUCCCUUAAGUUUAAGAGCCACAAGUUUGACCUUCUUUGAAUUGGUUAAUUUUUUCCAAUCAAAGAAGCAGUCAACCGUGCUCAACCAAUCAAAGAAGCAGACAACGGUGCUCAACC
rnacentral:lncRNA from 1 species